CAGUCGUACGCUUCUUUUUCACCGGAGCUUGCUCCACCGGAAAAAGAAGAGUGGCGAACGGGUGAGUAACACGUGGGUAACCUGCCCAUCAGAAGGGGAUAACACUUGGAAACAGGUGCUAAUACCGUAUAACAAUCGAAACCGCAUGGUUUUGAUUUGAAAGGCGCUUUCGGGUGUCGCUGAUGGAUGGACCCGCGGUGCAUUAGCUAGUUGGUGAGGUAACGGCUCACCAAGGCCACGAUGCAUAGCCGACCUGAGAGGGUGAUCGGCCACAUUGGGACUGAGACACGGCCCAAACUCCUACGGGAGGCAGCAGUAGGGAAUCUUCGGCAAUGGACGAAAGUCUGACCGAGCAACGCCGCGUGAGUGAAGAAGGUUUUCGGAUCGUAAAACUCUGUUGUUAGAGAAGAACAAGGAUGAGAGUAACUGUUCAUCCCUUGACGGUAUCUAACCAGAAAGCCACGGCUAACUACGUGCCAGCAGCCGCGGUAAUACGUAGGUGGCAAGCGUUGUCCGGAUUUAUUGGGCGUAAAGCGAGCGCAGGCGGUUUCUUAAGUCUGAUGUGAAAGCCCCCGGCUCAACCGGGGAGGGUCAUUGGAAACUGGGAGACUUGAGUGCAGAAGAGGAGAGUGGAAUUCCAUGUGUAGCGGUGAAAUGCGUAGAUAUAUGGAGGAACACCAGUGGCGAAGGCGGCUCUCUGGUCUGUAACUGACGCUGAGGCUCGAAAGCGUGGGGAGCAAACAGGAUUAGAUACCCUGGUAGUCCACGCCGUAAACGAUGAGUGCUAAGUGUUGGAGGGUUUCCGCCCUUCAGUGCUGCAGCUAACGCAUUAAGCACUCCGCCUGGGGAGUACGACCGCAAGGUUGAAACUCAAAGGAAUUGACGGGGGCCCGCACAAGCGGUGGAGCAUGUGGUUUAAUUCGAAGCAACGCGAAGAACCUUACCAGGUCUUGACAUCCUUUGACCACUCUAGAGAUAGAGCUUCCCCUUCGGGGGCAAAGUGACAGGUGGUGCAUGGUUGUCGUCAGCUCGUGUCGUGAGAUGUUGGGUUAAGUCCCGCAACGAGCGCAACCCUUAUUGUUAGUUGCCAUCAUUCAGUUGGGCACUCUAGCAAGACUGCCGGUGACAAACCGGAGGAAGGUGGGGAUGACGUCAAAUCAUCAUGCCCCUUAUGACCUGGGCUACACACGUGCUACAAUGGGAAGUACAACGAGUCGCGAAGUCGCGAGGCUAAGCUAAUCUCUUAAAGCUUCUCUCAGUUCGGAUUGUAGGCUGCAACUCGCCUACAUGAAGCCGGAAUCGCUAGUAAUCGCGGAUCAGCACGCCGCGGUGAAUACGUUCCCGGGCCUUGUACACACCGCCCGUCACACCACGAGAGUUUGUAACACCCGAAGUCGGUGAGGUAACCUUUGAGCCAC
rnacentral:rRNA from 1 species